rnacentral:rRNA from 1 species
CGACGGGUGGAGUAAUACAUCGGAACGUGUCUUCUAGUGGGGGAUAACUGCCCGAAAGGACGAGCUAAUACCGCAUGAGACCUGAGGGUGAAAGCGGGGGAGUCGCAAGACCUCGCGCUGGAAGAGCGGCAGAUGUCCGAUUAGCUAGUUGGUGAGGUAAAGGCUCACCAAGGCGACGAUCGGUAGCUGGUCUGAGAGGGCGACCGGCCACAUUGGGACUGAGACACGGCCCAA